CCAUGUGAUCGCCGUCACAACGGUUCCACUCCUGAUCGCCGAUCAGACGCCGAUGCCGCAGAAGAGGCGCCGCCGCCGCAGGAGGUCUCCUCGCGAAGGACCCUCCCGCCGGCGCCGCGGUGAAGAAGGCGCAUCGUUGUCUGGAUCCCUUGUCGAAUCGGACAGCAGCAGCACGACAUCCAGCGCGCCGCCGUCCGGAUCCUUGGACGAGCCGCCGGUCGCCCGGCCGGCCCGCCAGUCCAGGUACCAUGAGAUCCUCGCCUCGCGCCUCGCCCGGCUGCAGUUACAAGCGGACGUCGCCGUCGCCGCCGCCGACAGCCCAAAUCUUCCUCCGGAUGAAAUUGUCCAAGUCCUCACUCAUUCUAAUUUCUAUGACGAUGAGCUGCCGGCUGCCCUAGUAGAAUAUCAAGCCCACAGGUUCUUGAGCGAACCCCACGGACCAGAUGUUGGAGAUGGACAUUUCGGAGAGGGCUCGGGCGAUGAUAUCACUAGGGAGGAAUUCGUCGAGUACUGCAGGAAGCUAAAGGCUCGCAGACCAGCUGAAAUUGACGCCAAGACUGGACUGAAUCAAGAGCAGUUGGACAGCCUCCUUGCCAAGUAUAAACGUUAUCGCUUCAAAGCUUACCUGUUGUUGUUUGGAAAGCCUGUCGAAGAGCUAGAAGAAGCUGCAUUGGAAUCCAAGUACCCUAUGGAGCUUGCCUUGGAGAAUGACUUCUUCUAUCCUUGCCUUCAUGAUAGCGCGUUUGGCUGGUAUUCACAACUUUGAGUCCGACCUCUGUUUACUUGCAAACUUGAGCGACUACCAGCGGCUAGUCCUCCCUAACUGUGGUGUGAAUGAGUAUGAAUAUGAAAGAUGGAGUCAGUACAAAGCGUUUCAUAACACCCCUGAUGCUGAUAGAGAGUAUGUGCUGUACUGGGAAAAGAUGGUCAGGGAAAUGAAGUGGCUUGAAAAUCAUGUGCUUAAAGAUUUUCUGGAGUGGGAGCCAAUGCGCCGUAAAGGUUUUACCAAUCAAUUAAGAUUGCCAAUAGGUUCACCAACAUUCAUUUGGAUCUAGCAUGUCAUGGUUUCGAGGUACGAUUCCUUUGUCCCUUGCUCAUUUAGAUGGUCAGCUCUAGUUAUGAUUGUAUUUAGCAAUCGCAAUCUUCCAAUUAAACUUAGGAGUAUGUAUGGAGGACUAGCCUUUAUCGUCUGUUUGUGGAAGGUCUUGACCGUGCCUUUCUUGAGAUUUGGAAGCGGGUCAAUCAGGCUCAGGUCAGCAUUGUACAUCAGAACUAAUUAACAACCGUUUAUAAUUAUUGACCGGGUUCGUCAAUGCUUUCUAACCCUGUAUAUGCUUGGUGGUGGUGUUUUCUUCUUUGUUGGAAAACUUGUAGAUGUGUUGCGGAGAUGCUCUGCAGGAUGUUUACAAUGAGAACGUGGUUCCAUCGCGCCAACAUACUUUGAAGGCUGAGCUGGAGC